UACGAAGGGUGCAAGCGUUACUCGGAAUUACUGGGCGUAAAGCGUGCGUAGGUGGUUUGUUAAGUCUGAUGUGAAAUCCCCGGGCUCAACCUGGGAAUGGCAUUGGAUACUGGCUCGCUAGAGUGCGGUAGAGGGUGGUGGAAUUCCCGGUGUAGCAGUGAAAUGCGUAGAGAUCGGGAGGAACAUCUGUGGCGAAGGCGGCCACCUGGACCAACACUGACACUGAGGCACGAAAGCGUGGGGAGCAAACAGG
rnacentral:rRNA from 1 species